UCUUUGGUAAAACCAAAAAAAAAAAAAAAAGAUUGUAAGCCGUGUUUUCUGGCUACUGCCUGAAAAGAAAAAAACGAUGUGGGCUGUUGAAUUGUGAGAUUGUUGUACAACUUGUUUUGAUUUUUAAAUUCAUAAUUCCGAUGUGCCAAUGACUUGUCAUGUGUUGGUGUACACGCAGAGAAAUGCAGAGAUGGGCCCCCUCGUACUUAUUAUAAUUAUCAUUGCCAAAGAAAAAAUAAUAAUAAUAAUUUGGAGAUGGGGACCGUAAUCGGCAUGUGAUUAAUUCUUUAUUUAAUUUUUUUUUCCUCUCUACUAUAGCCAGUGUGAUCCAUGCCAAGCUUUUAUUUAAUCUGCAACAGUACAAAAGCGAUGAUAAACUACCAAGAAUCAUGAGAUGGUACCUCAACGUUCCGAGCUGGCUUGAUUCCACUUCCGGGCUUUUCCGUUUCUCCUGUGCAAUAUAAGUUUGUUUGGUGUUUUUUUUUUCUCUCUCUCUCUCUCUCUCUCUGUCAGCUAAGCAGUAGGGCGCGGCCUUAAGCUGUGUGGCCUUUGCAUGGACUCUCAUCCUCGGAUAUCCUCAUUUGUACAACUUUGUGAAAUUGCAGCUUUUCCAGCUAUAUCUUGAGCAAUUUUCUUUUUUUCUUCUUUGCAGAGAAUAACCAAACGCUGAGCACAUGUAUGAUGAUGUGUUUGAGGAAUUGCAGGGCGUUUGAUCAGGUUUUUUUUUUUUUUUUGUUCCCAGCUUUUCGGGGAAUAUGAUAUUCAACAAAAGGAGUUGUUGACGUGAUUAUUGAUAUUUACCGGUGAGGAAAAAAAUCCCCUUUAACGGGGGAAUGUGCUUCAGUGGAGUCGUGUUUCAAAGUACCUCUGGUUUGUGGUGUGUACUUUUCAAUGUCACCUAUGACACUGAGACUACUGCUUGCGAACACUUGUUCCUUUUUUGGGACGUGCAGUUUCAAUGCACCUUUUUGCUUACUCACAUUUUCUUCCCUCGGUGUCUUGUGGCUUACAGCAGCUUUUGUGCCUAACAUGAAGAAAACAAAACUAUUUGUUUCCUGAGACAGAACACAGAAAUGUUCCAAUGUAACAGAUACAAUCAAUCUUUUUUUUUUUUUAAUGAAAUAAAGAUCAGUCAUAAAUAAAGGUUA